rnacentral:tRNA from 1 species
GCCGAAGUGGUGGAACGGCAGACACGCUCGCCUCAAAAGCGAGUGGGGGAAACCCCGUGUGGGUUCGAAUCCCACCUUCGGCACCG